GUGGGGAAUAUUGGACAAUGGGCGAAAGCCUGAUCCAGCCAUGCCGCGUGUGUGAAGAAGGCCUUUUGGUUGUAAAGCACUUUAAGCGAGGAGGAGGCUACCGAGAUUAAUACUCUUGGAUAGUGGACGUUACUCGCAGAAUAAGCACCGGCUAACUCUGUGCCAGCAGCCGCGGUAAUACAGAGGGUGCAAGCGUUAAUCGGAUUUACUGGGCGUAAAGCGCGCGUAGGUGGCCAAUUAAGUCAAAUGUGAAAUCCCCGAGCUUAACUUGGGAAUUGCAUUCGAUACUGGUUGGCUAGAGUAUGGGAGAGGAUGGUAGAAUUCCAGGUGUAGCGGUGAAAUGCGUAGAGAUCUGGAGGAAUACCGAUGGCGAAGGCAGCCAUCUGGCCUAAUACUGACACUGAGGUGCGAAAGCAUGGGGAGCAAACAGGAUUAGAUACCCGGGUAGUCC
rnacentral:rRNA from 1 species